UACAGAGGUCUCAAGCGUUGUUCGGAUUCAUUGGGCGUAAAGGGUGCGUAGGCGGCGCGGUAAGUCGGGUGUGAAAUCUUGGAGCUUAACUCCGAAACUGCAUUCGAUACUGCCGUGCUUGAGGACUGGAGAGGAGACUGGAAUUUACGGUGUAGCGGUGAAAUGCGUAGAUAUCGUAAGGAAGACCAGUGGCGAAGGCGGGUCUCUGGACAGUUCCUGACGCUGAGACACGGAAGGCCCAGGGGAGCAAACGGG
rnacentral:rRNA from 1 species